rnacentral:rRNA from 1 species
UAAUAGCGUAUAUUAAAGUUGUUGCAGUUAAAAAGCUCGUAGUCGGAUGUCGGGCUCGGAGAGGCUGUCGGCCUACGGUCGGACGGCAACUCCGGGCCUUUCUGCCUGGGGAUCCUACUCUACUUAAUUGUAGGGUAGUGGGACGCAGGCCGUUUACUUUGAAAAAAUUAGAGUGUUCAAAGCAGGCCUACGCUUGAAUACAUUAGCAUGGAAUAAUGGAAUAGGACUUUGGUCUUAUUUGUUGGUUUAUGGGACCGAAGUAAUGAUUAACAGGGACAGUUGGGGCCGUUUAUAUUUCGUUGUCAGAGGUGAAAUUCUUGGAUUUACGAAAGAUAAACUUCUGCGAAAGCAUUCGGCAAGGAUGUUUUCAUUG